UCCGCGUUAUUCGCGGCAGUCUCUCUAGAGGGCCCAACUGAAUGAUGCAACGCGAAGAACCUUACCUAGGCUUGACAUGCUAGUUAAAGCCGGUGAAAGCCGGUGUCCGUAAGGGGCUAGCACAGGUGCUGCAUGGCUGUCGUCAGCUCGUGCCGUGAGGUGUUGGCUUAAGUGCCGCAACGAGCGCAACCCCUGCUUUUAGUUGCCAGCGGGUAAUGCCGGGGACUCUAAAAGGACUGCCGGGGACAACUCGGAGGAAGGUGGGGAUGACGUAGCUAAGCCUUC
rnacentral:misc_RNA from 1 species